UGGGUGGUAAGGAUUCCAGGAGCCAGAAGGGUCAAGUUUACCACAAGAAAACCCACAGAAUCAACUAAGCAGGGCUCACAGGGGCUCACAGAAACAGAAGCAACAAUGAUGGAGCUCAUAUAGACGUCCAUAAGGAAACAGAUACAUAAACACGAGCCUGGUUCUGUGCUGAAGGCCUGCUGGAUCUGUAAAGUGAGGACAUGACUGCCCUAAGACACCUUUGCUAUGUGGAGGUGAGGGACUACAGACAGACUGGGCAGCUGAAUAACACCUGAGUGAGGGAAGCACAGUCUGCCAUAAGCAUGCAAAGCCUGGCUGGAAGAGAAGGAGAACUAACAGCCCAUACCUGCCAUCAUGACCUCUUAAAAGCAAACCUCAGAGUUUCCUCCCAUUGUGGUGAACAGGUCACUAAAGACUGGCAAUCCCUGAUGGCACUGUGCCUACAAAUCGAAUGUCAGCCUUUGAUCACUGAAGCUUUAUAUAGAAACUCCAACGCUGAAAGAAAUAUAAAGAGCCCGUGGACCGAGGAGCCACUCUGGAUAGCUCUAAAUGUCGAAGGAGACCAUGAGACCAUGAGGAGGGUGCUCAGCCAUAGGUGUGUUUUUUCCAAUCUUCUUGUUUGGCUUGACUAUGGGGGCAAGUGGAUGGACUGCAGACUAGCGGGGGCUUCGCGGCAGGGGAUUGCCAAAUCAUGUGAUAUGGGCAUGAACUUACCUUGAAGUGGAAAAGAAUGUCAUGGAAUCAAGCGGAACAGCUAGGAAAUAUUACUGCUUCAUGUAUAGCAAGGAUAAAUGUUGAUUUGUGUUAGCGCUAUGUGAAUAGUAUGUGUACAUAUGUGGAGAUGUGCUGAGUUGAGAUC